CCAAUAGCGUAUAUUAAAGUUGUUGCAGUUAAAAAGCUCGUAGUUGAAUUUUGGAUUCUGCCAAUUGGUCCAUCUUUUAGAUGAGUACUGGUUGUGUGGGGUCUAUCCGCCUGGUGAUACGUAAUGUCCUUUAUUGGAUGUUGCGGGUAGUCAGGACCUUUACCUUGAAAAAAUUAGAGUGUUUAAAGCAGGCUUAUGCCGGAAUACAUUAGCAUGGAAUAAUAGAAUAGGACGAAGUUGUUUUAUUUUGUUGGUUUCUAGGACAACCGUAAUGAUUAAUAGGGAUAGUUGGGGGCAUUAGUAUUCAAUUGUCAGAGGUGAAAUUCUUGGAUUUAUUGAAGACUAACUACUGCGAAAGCAUUUGCCAAGGAUGUUUUCAUUAAUCAAGAACGAAAGUUAGGGGAUCGAAGACGAUCAGAUACCGUCGUAGUCUUAACCAUAAACUAUGCCGACUAGGGAUCGGGCGAUGUUGUUUCCAUGACUCGCUCAGCACCUUAUG
rnacentral:rRNA from 1 species